UACGGGGGGGGUAAGCGUUGUUCGGAAUUACUGGGCGUAAAGGGCUCGUAGGCGGCCAACUAAGUCAGACGUGAAAUCCCUCAGCUUAACUGGGGAACUGCGUCUGAUACUGGAUGGCUUGGAUUCGGGAGAGGAAUGCGGAAUUCCAGGUGUAGCGGUGAAAUGCGUAGAUAUCUGGAGGAACACCGGUGGCGAAGGCGGCAUUCUGGACGGAUACUGACGCUGAGACGCGAAAGCGUGGGGAGCAAACAGG
rnacentral:rRNA from 1 species